rnacentral:rRNA from 1 species
AUGGCUCAGGAUGAACGCUGGCGGCAUGCCUAAGACAUGCAAGUCGAACGAGAUGGCCCACAGAUUCAGAAGGAAAACGGAGUGCUUGCACGAAGUUAGAAUUUUGAUGACGUGGAAAUUCCAUCUAGUGGCAAACGGGUGAAUAACACGUGGGUAACCUACCUCUAAGUUGGGGAUAACAGUUGGAAACGACUGAUAAUACCGAAUAAGCUCUACGGAGUAAAGAAGCCAUUAAGCUUCGCUAAGAGAUGGGCCUGCGGCGUAUUAGCUAGUUGGUGGGGUAAGAGCCUACCAAGGCGACGAUGCGUAGCCGAACUGAGAGGUUGAUCGGCCACACUGGGACUGAGACACGGCCCAGACUCCUACGGGAGACAGCAGUUAGGAAUAUUCGUCAAUGGGGGAAACCCUGAACGAGCAAUGCCGCGUGAAUGAAGAAGGCCCUAUGGGUUGUAAAAUUCUGUUGUAUGGAAAGAAAUGUAAAGUUAGGAAAUGAACUUUACUUGACGGUACCAUUCAAGAAAGCCACGGCUAACUACGUGCCAGCAGCCGCGGUAAUACGUAGGUGGCGAGCGUUAUCCGGAUUUAUUGGGCGUAAAGGGUGCGUAGGCGGUAUGUUAAGUAUAAAAUAAAAGCCCGAAGCUUAACUUCGGUUCGUUUUAUAAACUGGCAAACUAGAGUACAGUAGAGGCAAAUGGAAUUCCUAGUGUAGUGGUAAAAUGCGUAGAUAUUAGGAGGAACACCAGUGGCGAAGGCGAUUUGCUGGGCUGUAACUGACGCUGAGGCACGAAAGCGUGGGGAGCAAAUAGGAUUAGAUACCCUAGUAGUCCACGCCGUAAACGAUGAGUACUAAGUGUCGGGAAACCGGUGCUGAAGUUAACACAUUAAGUACUCCGCCUGAGUAGUACGGUCGCAAGG